rnacentral:lncRNA from 1 species
UCCUACAUUAGCCCUAUGUUGAUCCAUUUCAUUUUUAAUACAUAUCCUGAAAUUGCUUUAAAUUCUCUUUGACUAUCUACGUAUUUAACCUUGCAAUCACUCUCCCCAUUCCCUUCUAGAUACAAGUCCCUUGAGGGCAGAAAUGGCUUAGUUUUUGCUUUAGUGUUUCCCAGGGCUUAGCAGUGUAGGACACAGCAGAGUUGUUUAAUAAACGUAGAUUUCCUUAGCUGACAUUCUUCUCUUCUCCCCUCAGCUUUAUCCCCAAAGUUCAAGGUUUUCUCCCUCCCCUCCACAUAUCUUCACACCUUCUGUUAACUACCACAAUCUGGUAAACUGGCCAAUCCAACUGCCAACUGAGCCAAGGAAGGGGAGUUGCCAUUAGCAGCCACUACUUCUCCCAGCCUUUCAGAUGGUUUCUCUAAAAACUACAAUGAAUUUUUAAAUGUAAAAGGCAAAUAACUUCAGAAGAUCUUAUGAAGCUUGAACAAAGGAGACCAUGUUGUAAAAGGUGAUCUUUCUUUGAAAGAAGUUAGUUGAAACAGGAUGGGAAAUAGCUCUACACUGCCCUCUGGUGGCAUUUUGUUCCACCCUCUUUCAUCCUCCCUACACAGAACUAAAGAUCAAGUAUCCAUUUUGACUUAGUUUGUACCUUCCUCCUAUGGAUAGAAUCCAUUCUCGAGAAACAACUUAUUUUUGUUCCUGCAUCUUGGUGAAUAGUGUGAGUUAUUGGUCUAUAUCUAAUUCCUAUUAGGCUUCAUUUAUUUAUUUAUUUGUUAAUUUAUUGUCCACUAUUUUUCUAUUGGUUUGAUAAUUUAUCUCUCCACUUAUUUAUGCUCUAGCUACCUGUCAAUGCCAUUAGAAGGAUUUGCUAGGAAAAAAAAAAGUUCAAGAUGUUUCUUCCUCCAGAGUCACUUGUUUUUAAAUAUGGAAGUUUUAAUUUCUAAAUAACUGAAUCUCCAAUAGGAGAAUGCAGUUCUAUUUCAACUUCUCAUCAUGGAGAGCUGGAAGCUUCUUAACCUGACUCUUCCUAGUACAGCCCUGCUCCUGACAUCCCUGGGGCUAAAAUAAACUCAAAUUUCUCAUGAAAUGAUCA